AGGCAGUGUACAGUUAGCUGGCUGCAUAUUGUUUAGAUAGCAGCCGCUAAGUACCCUGUCACC
rnacentral:pre_miRNA from 1 species